rnacentral:lncRNA from 1 species
UUUCAACGCUGCAGAAUUCUUUUUCAGAACUUUGAUAUCUUCCUACAAUUCUUCUUGAGAUUUACUCUACUAAUCAAAACCCAUCACCACGAACCUCUAAGUAUUUCUCCACCUCAGUUUCUGUUGAAACUGCUGUAAUACAAUGUCCUGGAUUCCUAGGAGCCCAACUGUUUAAGUGAAUUAUCUUUGAGACAGCACCCUCGGUGUUUCUGCACCUUCUCCACUUUCCAAUUAGUAUGCUGGGAGAGGAUGAUGUCCCAAAAUUUCAGCAAAGAGAGCAGAGUCUUUAACAUCUGUCCUGAUCAUUAGGCAGCUGCAUGUGUAUUAAGAAGAGAGUAAGGGGGAAGUCACCUACACAUGAGCUCAGCGGACAGCGACAUCCUGCCCGGCUCGAUGGCCCAGGCCAUCACUGCAGCGCAUCGGUCUUCCUCUGUCCUCUGCACAUGACUCAUUUCACUCCCGCUGCUGUCUGAUGACACCAUCGCCCAAGCGCACGGGCAAGCUGCUUUUCUGAUUUACAGGAUAGAGACCUUAGAAUUAGAAGAGUGGAGGGAGCCCCAACUCGCCG